AGUGAACGCUGGCGGUAGGCCUAACACAUGCAAGUCGAACGGCAGCGCAGGAGAGCUUGCUCUCUGGGUGGCGAGUGGCGGACGGGUGAGGAAUACAUCGGAAUCUACUUUUUCGUGGGGGAUAACGUAGGGAAACUUACGCUAAUACCGCAUACGACCUACGGGUGAAAGCAGGGGAUCUUCGGACCUUGCGCGAUUGAAUGAGCCGAUGUCGGAUUAGCUAGUUGGCGGGGUAAAGGCCCACCAAGGCGACGAUCCGUAGCUGGUCUGGGAGGAUGAUCAGCCACACUGGAACGGAGACACGGUCCAGACUCCUACGGGAGGCAGCAGUGGGGAAUAUUGGACAAUGGGCGCAAGCCUGAUCCAGCCAUACCGCGUGGGUGAAGAAGGCCUUCGGGUUGUAAAGCCCUUUUGUUGGGAAAGAAAUCCAGCUGGUUAAUACCCGGUUGGGAUGACGGUACCCAAAGAAUAAGCACCGGCUAACUUCGUGCCAGCCGCCGCCGUAA
rnacentral:rRNA from 1 species